GAGGAGGAAUUCGGAGCAGACGCGAGGCCCGGCGCUCGCGCCGCGCCCGGGAGCCCGGGAGGGAGGCCGGCGGCGGCGGCAUGAGGCAGGCGACGCGGCGCUGGUAAGCAGCGCGCGCGGCGGCGGCGGCGGCGGCGGCGGGGACCUUGGCGCGGCCGGACGCGGGCGAGCGCCGAACGGCCGGGGGCUCCCCUCCCCCGCUGCCGGGCCGUGAUUUGCCGGGCCUGCUGCGCCCCCCGCCCACCCCUUGCCUCAGCCGCCGCCUCGCCGCUUCCCCUCGUCGGAGCGGCCGCUCGUCCGCCCGGCUUGAGGCCCGCAGGGAGUGCAGCGCAGUCCGUCGGCCCGCGGGGGGGCGGCCUCCCGGCAUCUUCGCGGCGACCAAGGACUACCAGGAAGGGGAGCGGCUGGGAUGGCGCGUCCGCGUCCCCGCGAGUACAAAGCGGGCGACCUGGUCUUCGCCAAGAUGAAGGGCUACCCGCACUGGCCGGCCCGGAUUGAUGAACUCCCAGAGGGAGCUGUGAAGCCUCCAGCAAACAAGUAUCCUAUCUUCUUUUUUGGCACCCAUGAAACUGCAUUUCUAGGUCCCAAAGACCUUUUUCCAUAUAAGGAGUACAAAGACAAGUUUGGAAAGUCAAACAAACGGAAAGGAUUUAAUGAAGGAUUGUGGGAAAUAGAAAAUAACCCAGGAGUAAAGUUUACUGGAUACCAGGCAAUUCAGCAACAGAGCUCUUCAGAAACUGAGGGAGAAGGUGGAAAUACUGCAGAUGCAAGCAGUGAGGAAGAAGGUGAUAGAGUAGAAGAAGAUGGAAAAGGCAAAAGAAAGAAUGAAAAAGCAGGCUCAAAACGGAAAAAGUCAUAUACUUCAAAGAAAUCCUCUAAACAGUCCCGGAAAUCUCCAGGAGAUGAAGAUGACAAAGACUGCAAAGAGGAGGAAAACAAAAGCAGCUCUGAGGGUGGAGAUGCGGGCAAUGACACAAGAAACACAACUUCAGACUUGCAGAAAACGAGUGAAGGGACCUAACUACCAUAAUGAAUGCUGCAUAUUAAGAAAAACCACAAGAAGGUUAUAUGUUUGGUUGUCUAAUAUUCUUGGAUUUGAUAUGAACCAACACAUAGUCCUUGUUGUCAUUGACAGAACCCCAGUUUGGACUCUGUAGACAUAAGCAGUUCUAGCAUGAAGAGAAGCACCAAUGUGAGAAAACUGAGCCUGUUGCAUAAAAAAAAAAAAAAAAUGGGGUAAGCAUGAAACAUGUUCAGUUGGAUGCACGAUGAGUUCUGAAUAGUUCAUUCAGGCUACGUUUCUGUGCCCUCAAAACCAGUCUCACCUGCAGGCAAAAUACCUUCAAACAAUCCAGAGUCUUUAAUGUGAGAGUCUUUCAUUGAAUUCAGUCUUUGAUUAAAUUUAGGGCCAUUCUUGAUAUGACUGUUCAAAUAAAGUAGAUAUUAUUUCGUGUAGUUUUAUCAUGCCAGUUAUGUUUUUAACCAUCAAGUGCCCCUUACCAAACAUUAGUGGCUCAAUCUAGUAGAAAAAUCUGAAUAAAAUCUCAAAUUUU